rnacentral:rRNA from 1 species
AACGAACGCUGGCGGCAUGCCUAACACAUGCAAGUCGAACGAGACCUUCGGGUCUAGUGGCGCAUGGGUGCGUAACGCGUGGGAACCUGCCUUUAGGUUCGGACUAACUCAGAGAAAUUUGAGCUAAUACCGGAUGAUGUCUUCGGACCAAAGAUUUAUCGCCUUUAGAUGGGCCCGCGUUGGAUUAGCUAGUUGGUGGGGUAAAGGCCUACCAAGGCGACGAUCCAUAGCUGGUCUGAGAGGAUGAUCAGCCACACUGGGACUGAGACACGGCCCAGACUCCUACGGGAGGCAGCAGUGGGGAAUAUUGGACAAUGGGCGAAAGCCUGAUCCAGCAAUGCCGCGUGAGUGAUGAAGGCCUUAGAGUUGUAAAGCUCUUUUACCCGAGAUGAUAAUGACAGUAUCGGGAGAAUAAGCUCCGGCUAACUCCGUG